GAUGAAGAACGUAGCGAAAUGCGAUACGUAAUGUGAAUUGCAGAUUUCAGUGAAUCAUCGAAUCUUUGAACGCACAUUGCGCCCGCCAGUAUUCUGGCGGGCAUGCCUGUUCGAGCGUCAUUUCAACCCUCAAGCACAGCUUGGUGUUGGGACUCGCGUUAAUUCGCGUUCCUCAAAUUGAUUGGCGGUCACGUCGAGCUUCCAUAGCGUAGUAGUAAAACCCUCGUUACUGGUAAUCGUCGCGGCCACGCCGUUAAACCCCAACUUCUGAAUGUUGACCUCGGAUCAGGUAGGAAUACCCGCUGAACUUAAGCAUAUCAAUAAGCGGAGGA
rnacentral:misc_RNA from 1 species